rnacentral:tRNA from 1 species
GCCUUCGUGCUGUAAUGGUCAGCAUACUCGACUCGUAUUCGAGAGGUCCGUGGUUCGAGUCCCGGCGAGGGCA